AUUUGAAAGAAAACUUCAGGCUGUUUAUAUCGUUGAUUAAAAGGCAAGAUAUUUUUUUGUGUCAAAUAAUUUUUGGUUCUUCUCGUAGAAAUUUAUUUUUUGAAUUGACAAUUUCGCUGCGGCUAGGACUGCAAAUAAUAAAUUGGAAGCUAUUAUAUAUUUCUGGGAGAGACCAGUUUUCCGUUUUCAGGAAUUGGGAGCGUUUAUCUCUAAUUCCUCCCAAGGAUAUUUUAUUUAAAGUUUUUUUCCGCGAGAGAGAUAAAAGGGAAUAGCAUCUCCCAAACACCACCAGUCUAACCUUUGGCGGUUCUAAGCGCACCAUUGCGAAUUAUUGUCGCCGUAAAUUUUAUUGUUGACCAACACGUAUACGCCACAAAACGAUAAUCAACCAUUCCAAGCUCUUGUCAAGAUUAAGGAAUAAAUAGUGCAAUAUAUAGAAAAUGUUCACAUACAUGUAUAAAUUCUUGACGUUUCUUAAGAGGACCCAAAACAUUACAACUUAAAAAUAAUAGUUUUAAUUUAAUUUUUUUUAAUUUUAAAUUUUUAAAAUCAUUAAAUUUAUAAACUUACACAAUUUAAUAUAUUUUUAAACUGAUAAUUAAAUCUAUGAUUUCGUAAGUUACGUUACAAAUAUGAA